ACAACAUUAUUCAUCAUAAUUGAACCAUUAUUUGUGUUGUAUUUUAAUAGUUGUCAUUUUAGUGCAAGUUUGCACUAACAAAUAUUGUGCAAUUGUCUUACAGAUUUCGGACAAAGUCCUGUCCAAACUACUCAAGUUGGACAAGCGAUUCCGUUUAGAGGUUAGACAUCGCUUCACUAAUUUUGGAUGCGUAAUGAUGUGUUAUGUAUAUUAUAAAUUUAUUUUGUGAACCGUGUUCAGUUAGUUCAUUGUUUAUAUUAAUAGGAGGAGUUGAUGGUACUAGAGAGCAUAGAGGUUUUAUCGGCGGACGAAGACAAACUUGUUGACUAUGUACUUGACGACAGAAAAAAUAAAAGGUACAGUUCAAUUUACUACUUGCAAUUAACCUAUUCCGUAGUAUUUGUCAAAUAAGUUCAAUUUUCUAUGGAUACUUCUUCCUUGUAGGGAUAUUGUCGGGUCUAUGAAUCUUCAUGGAAUGCAAUGUGAAUGUGCUACCCGAUGUGACAUGCACAUGCUUAAACCAGGGGCGUGGCUAUCUGACACUGUAAGUGUUUAUCUGAAAAUAUUCUUUUCACUAUAUGUGCAUGAUGGAGAUUUCCCUGUAGGGACAUUAUUCUUUCGUAUUAGAUUUAAACAAAUUGCAAACCUUAUUUCUCAAGUUGCCUUAUCUCUUACAAUGUUCCAGCCAAUAAACUUGGUUGUGGUUCAAUUGACUAACGGACAACGGCAAGUAAACAAAGAUGGGAGGCAUACUGCCUGGUUCUUUCCAGUAUAUCUGUCAGUAAGUGUUUUAGGUCGGUUGUGAAUUGUAGAUGACAUUUUCAAAAAUGUUUGGCUGAAUAACCUUUACACACUAACCAUGCAGACUUUGAUAUUAAAUAAAAAUACUCAACCUUUGAAUCAUGAAAAUAUCGUCAAAUCGUAUUUUGGACGUGACAGAUAUACUGGUGUGCUUGAUGCAUGCGAGAAGGUAAUAUGAAUGUCCAUUCCAUUAAAGUGAGUAGAUUUAAUAUGAAUGUCGGUAAUAUGAAUGUCGAUCCCAUUAAUAUGAAUGUCAAUGUAAAUAUGAAAGUGAGUAGAUGUUCGCAUGCCCUCUAAACAAUGUCUUCACUUGUGUUUAUGUGCAUAUUUACAUGCCUUUCAAUUAUAGAGGAGUACACUGGUUGUGCAUACAAAUAGAUAUGGUAGACCGUGGGGCGUACCUAUUUGACUCAUUGGCAUCUGCCACACUGGACAACAACAAGCUUAACGUGGAAAAAAUGUUGGUAUGUCCUGCUGGACAAAACUACUUCCAAACUGUGACAUCCUUUACAUAAACCAACCGUCUCCUUCUGCAACAGGUUCAAACAAUGCAUGCCUUACUGUAACUACAGUUUGAAAAUGAAUAUGGUCAAGACGUGCGUAGCUUUGACGUGUGCAUGUUAGACAAAAGGCCAUUACAACAACUAGACGACACUUUCGACUGUGGGAUGCUUAUGAUCAAGUACAUGCAGCGGCUUGAUAUACCCAGCGAUCCACACAAGAUAUGAAUAAUUCAAAGAUCGGCGAGUAUCUUUCGUGCAUGACUGAUUGCAAUUACAACAAAUAGAGCAGUGAUAGGGAAUGGGCUACCAGUACAACAAUAAUUUGGAUGGCCAACCACAAUUCACUUUUUUUGUAGUAAUUGUUUUGCAGAGUGGUGUAAAUAUGAGUCCUCCCGAUGUUUAGGAACAAUGAUGUAAAGAUAGAUCACUAAUUUGUUUGUAGUACAAGUACUAUAUAAAGAUGAGUUAAUCAGCUUCUUGUGGCAAUUUUGAGGUCGCAGCUGCGAUAAUACUAAUUUUCCACGCAUAUUGAUUGCAUACAUAAUUCGGAUGUUUAGGACUGGAACAAACGAAUGACAGUACUAAUGUUUGUUCGCUUUUAUCAUGGCUCGUAAGUAAUUACCAAAUUGUGCAUAAGUUGGAUGUAGCAACUCUAUCGAUCAGUGGAAUUAUGGGUACGUGUUUGGGUGGGCUCAUGUAACCUUAUGCCAUGAGUAAAUCAAAACAGUUACACUUGAAUUUGUACAAAUCCGAUGUGACUGAGCGAUGUCUUUCUUUGUGUCUUUGUUUUUGAAGGCCAUAAUUUUCUCCAAAACAAAGAAAAAAAAAAAAAAAAAAUCACAAAAGAAACAAA